rnacentral:rRNA from 1 species
CCUACGGGAGGCAGCAGUGAGGAAUAUUGGUCAAUGGGCGGGAGCCUGAACCAGCCAAGCCGCGUGAGGGAAGAAGGUACAGCGUAUCGUAAACCUCUUUUGUCAGGGAACAAAGGCGGGGACUAGUCCCCGGAUGAGGGUACCUGAAGAAAAAGCAUCGGCUAACUCCGUGCCAGCAGCCGCGGUAAUACGGAGGAUGCGAGCGUUAUCCGGAUUUACUGGGUGUAAAGGGAGCGCAGACGGCUGUGCAAGUCUGGAGUGAAAGGCGGGGGCCCAACCCCCGGACUGCUCUGGAAACUGUAAAGCUGGAGUGCAGGAGAGGUAAGCGGAAUUCCUAGUGUAGCGGUGAAAUGCGUAGAUAUUAGGAGGAACACCAGUGGCGAAGGCGGCUUACUGGACUGCAACUGACGUUGAGGCUCGAAAGCGUGGGGAGCAAACAGGAUUAGAUACCCGAGUAGUC